rnacentral:rRNA from 1 species
GGGUAGUCCAGGCUGUAAACGAUGCGGGCUAGGUGUCACCAGAGCUACGAGCUCCGGUGGUGCCGGAGGGAAGCCGUUAAGCCCGCCGCCUGGGAAGUACGGCCGCAAGGCUGAAACUUAAAGGGAUUGGCGGGGGAGCACUACAACGGGUGGAGCCUGCGGUUCAAUUGGAUUCAACGCCGGGAAGCUUACCGGGGGAGACAGCUGGAUGAAGGUCGGGCUGAAGACCCUACCAGACUAGCUGAGAGGUGGUGCAUGGCCGCCGUCAGUUCGUACUGUGAAGCAUCCUGUUAAGUCAGGCAACGAGCGAGACCCGCGCCCUCAGUUGCCAGCGGGUCGCUUUGCGACGCCGGGCACACUGAGGGGACUGCCGGCGCUAAGCCGGAGGAAGGUGCGGGCAACGGCAGGUCCGUAUGCCCCGAAUCCCCCGGGCUACACGCGGGCUACAAUGGGCCGGGGACAAUGGGGUACCGACCCCGAAAGGGGGUAGGUAAUCCCCUAAACCGGGUCUAACCUGGGGAUCGAGGGCUGCAACUCGCCCUCGU